GACGAACGCUGGCGGCGUGCUUAACACAUGCAAGUCGAACGGAAAGGCCCUGCUUUUGUGGGGUGCUCGAGUGGCGAACGGGUGAGUAACACGUGAGUAACCUGCCCUUGACUUUGGGAUAACUUCAGGAAACUGGGGCUAAUACCGGAUAGGAGCUCCUGCUGCAUGGUGGGGGUUGGAAAGUUUCGGCGGUUGGGGAUGGACUCGCGGCCUAUCAGCUUGUUGGUGGGGUAGUGGCUUACCAAGGCUUUGACGGGUAGCCGGCCUGAGAGGGUGACCGGCAACAUUGGGACUGAGAUACGGCCCAGACUCCUACGGGAGGCAGCAGUGGGGAAUAUUGCACAAUGGGCGGAAGCCUGAUGCAGCAACGCCGCGUGCGGGAUGACGGCCUUCGGGUUGUAAACCGCUUUCGCCUGUGACGAAGCGUGAGUGACGGUAAUGGGUAAAGAAGCACCGGCUAACUACGUG
rnacentral:rRNA from 1 species